rnacentral:rRNA from 1 species
CUCCUGGGAAGUCCUCGUGUUGCAUCAC